AUAAACGAACUGCUGUCUUUUUGCGCACCUUUCGAGCAGUAGCCUGCGCCGUUUAUUGAAAGGGAGCCUCAGUUUUUGUCGUCUGCUGAACGUGGUUUUCUCGGCACAAAUCAACUUCAAUAAAUUAGGCGACAGGGGCGAAGUCUAACAGAAGGCCUAUCAGACAGGUGCCAACUGGUUCUUCUAAAGGCAGGAAAGUCUUAGAGACUUAGCCAAAGUCAGGGAUGCUGAUCUGCAUCCUGUGAGAAAAGAAAUAGCGACUGCUGCUGUUGCACAUACACAAUGGAAGUUGUCUAUUACAAGUCACAAAUUAUAGAUCUGACCACGAUGUUUGGAGUUAUUAUAAUUAUAGUUCUAACAAGAGUCAGAUGACUCAUGAUUAUUUGUGGACAUCCAAUGCAUAUGCAAGAUAAGCAGUGACAAACAUUUUAUUGCUAAAGGCAAUGUAAUACUUUGUCAAAGUAUAGUUAUCUAAAGUCACAUCUGAAG